AUGGCACUGAAACACAACACUCAGGAGGAGAUUUGGAGGAUUCUUUCUUCUGUUUCACAUAUAUCAUCCUCUGUUCAGGUGACCCUGAACCAUCCUCCUGUUAGUUAUGUUGCUAUAGGCCUAGACUGCCUGAGAACUCUUCAUCAGUGCACUGAGCUCCCCUCUCUUCUCCUUGAAUUGUUUCCCACAGCUCGUCUGACUCUGAGUCCCAGCAGCUCCCAGGUUUUUGAAGGAGACUUUGUGUCUCUGAGCUGUGAGGAGGACGACAGCUCUGCUGGAUGGACCCUGAGGAGGAACACAACCAGACGACAGAGGACUCAGUGUGAUAACUGGGGAACAUCAGCUGGUUCUUCCUGUAACAUCAGCCUUUCCUUCCCAUCAGACAGUGGAGUUUACUGGUGUGAGUCCAGAGAGGGAGCAACCAGUCAGAGCAUCAUCAAUCGGCCUACGGGUCAUGUGACCAUCCUCCAUGUUUCCAAGGCCGAUGAAGGCGUCUACAGGUGUAACAUCAGGGGCCAUGGAGAGUCUCCACCCAGCUGGAUCUCUGUCACAGGAACACCUACAACCACAGCCCCGCCCCCUGAACCAACUACAGCCUCAUCAGCAGCCCUGUCCCCAGCCCCCCCCCCCAGACCCCGCCCCCCUCCUGCAGGUGUUCACAGUGGUCCGUUACCUGGUGGUGUUCUGUCCCUACAUCAUCUCCACUGUCCUCAUGGUGUCUCUGUAUCGACACAGACCCACAGGAAGUGACCUGCCUGUCUCCAUGGUGACAGCAGCACCCGUCCAGGCUGAGCAGCGAUUGGCUGAGGACUUUGAUGAUGUCAUGGCGGUCACCACUGAGCAUCACUUCUGAGCUGUCUUCCUGUUUCUCUGUGACUCUGAACAGUUUGAAUAAAGGUCCAAACACUGUACAAAGUCUGGAAGUACUGUGGUAUUUCUGUGUACUGUCUCAGUACAUGCAGUAAAACUACAGUAUGAGUCCUCUCCACAGCUUUAUACAGUGGUGCUGGAAGUGGAAUAAAAAGU
rnacentral:lncRNA from 1 species